ensembl:lncRNA
GAAAGUUAGUGUCAUAAAUGAUUAGGACCCAAUACCCGCAGCAUAUCUGAAAUAUGCACAUUCCUGUAAUGUCCAGAACAUUCCUGUCCCUAGUCUGGCCUCACUCUACGAGAUUAUGUUGUCGAUUAUUUCAGACUCAGUAACAAAUGAUGUGACCCCAACAGCCUUACUAGGACAAUAAAUCAAUGACUUUCUUUUCAUUACUUGCUGGUCUGCUCUGCUGGUUCUUUUGUCAUGUGACAUUUACCCCUCUAUGUUGGUUUACGUUUAGUUGAAUCUCCACAAUAAUCAUCCUCACAUUUAUGUUUAUUAUAGUGUCACUGGCUUGCUAAACUGUAUAUGAUUGCAGAUGCGUCUCAGAAAAGCACUGCUUAGCAUCUCUGGCAUUGAUGGUCCCAUCAUUGGAUUUUGUUUAGCUUCUAACCAUAGUGCAGAAUACGCCCCUGCAUAAAGGAAAAUGGCCUGCUUGCUACCAUGGUGUGUUCUUCUGGAACAUGGUGUGUCCUUCUACCUAUCGGAUUGUGUUCCAUAUGCAAUAUAUCUCAAACUCUCCCUUAAAUGUUGUCUCUUAGUUUACGGAGAAUACUGAGUCAUCUAGAAGAUGUGGAGUUUGAAAGGUGCUGAAUAAAAGAGCCUCAACAGUAGCUUGCUUAGCACCUUGAAUAAUUGUCUUGGGGCUUUCAGCAGGUCUCUUGCACUUCUCACAUGUCCAAAAUAUAAUUUAUGUCUAUGGUGAGACUAAGCAACAUGCACUGCACUGUAUUACCCAUAUGUUUUUCUACGUUUGUCUCUCUUUUACCUAAUAGGUUUGGUGAACAUAUUUCUGCCCACUUUCUGCCGUGUACCAGACAUACUUGUGGUCUCAAUCAGCAUGCAAUCAUAUAUAAUUAGUUUGGACAUGCAGAGCUUCCAUUACAAUACGUUGCUUGGUGUUGUUAAAGGUGCCGGUGGUAGUAAUGAUUUGUUGUGAUAUGAAACCAAACCAUCAGGGGGCUAUUGAACAUGUUGGAUGACAUAUGCUUGUUUCCGUAAACACCAAAGAAUGAUAAUAAUAUCACAGUGUCUGAAUUUCAAGCAGAAAGAACAUUAUCUGUUGUGUAAGCGAUAACAAAGACUACCAAGAUGUACGUUCCUAUAAAUUUGUAUGUGUUCAAAUCUGGCAAGAUGGCUAAAAUUAUAUUUUCUUUGAUACUCAAGACAGGGUGCUUGUGAAAAUGCUUUUCUGCGUUUUGUCCUCUGAUCGCUAUUGGUAGACUGUAGUUUAAUUGUUGUGUUAAUGUGCCUACUGUAGACCAAAAUAGCUUUUCUAAAGAAAUUCAGCAAAAUAUAAAAAGAAACCUGACACGUAGUAGUUGUUGUAGAACUAUAGCAUGUUAUAACAUGAAUAAGAUUGUAAAUGUUGCAUUGUUCCUCUGCUUAAAAUUAAUACUCAAUAUCCAUUAGUUAUUUUUUCUACACACACUUAGCAAAUUGAUUUAGGCCUUUCCAAUACACAUUUGAUUUUGUUUGAUUGAUCCGUUUAUCUUUGUUUAAUCCGUUUGUCUGUUAUUCCAGUUUUCAGUCAUUGAUUUCUUCCUUCCGUCUUGUUGAUUUCAAAGCUUUUAUUCUCUGAUAAACUAAAUGCACUGGAUUAGUGGAGAACGGAUACUAAAUUGACAUGCCAUGCACAAUGUAUCUGUUUGUCUGACUAAUAUUCUAAAGACAUCUGUCUCAAAAUGUUAUUCAAACAUAUAGUGGAAGAUCCAUACUGAAUUUAGACUGUUUUUUCAAACUUUGAGGUGGACCAAAAUAUGAGUUGCUUUUGCACAUCCUUGUUCUGCAAUGUGUUGAUGCCAUUGAGUAAAAGAGUAGGAAGAUUAAACUUGCCGCUGCCCAGAACAACCGAACCAAGCAACACAAAGAGGCCUAAAUCUGAUUUAAGGGCAAAUGAUUUAUCCCACAAUACGAUAUUAUAACAUUUUGAUGGCUUACCUAGAGCCUGCUACAGAUACAUUUCCCCCAGAGAGCUUUAAACUCAAAAGCCAGCUGACAUUUGAUGAAUAAUUAAGGCAAAAACAACAAAACAGUGUAAAGAUAUUACUAUUAAUUGAGUUGUAUUAACAUCUUGAUGAGUUGGACCAAAUUUCUUAUCAGUUGGUAGCAUACAGUACAUGAUGUUGAUUACUACAUUAUAUAUUUGUUGUAAUAUGAAUUGUUCAUAUCAAAGAAAAAUGUAAACCGUUGGAAAAUAUGUAUGAGUAAAAUGUCACUUAUUGUGGAGGUAUGACAUAAUUUGAAAGUUUUUUUCAAGCUGGAUGUUUGAAAUAUGAUUAGUUAUUUGGGUCAUGCUUCUUUAGUGUGGUAGUUGAAUGAAGUCAGUGUCUACAUUGGUCAUUGUAAGAUCCACUCAGUGAUGAAUCAGAAAGUCAGUAUGCUCCCACAGUACAUGUGUAGAUUUAUGUUACAGAAAGCUUCGGUUUUUAAUCAGAUAUUCAAGCUUUUUUUCUGCCAUCUUAAAGCUGUUUAUUUAACAAAUGUACCUGCAGUGAAA